GCUUGCCUAGCGGAGCGCAGGCGGGGCUGGGGUCGGGGAGGCUGACCCCCAAACCCUUCCUUUCUUCUGGCUCUGAGAUCACCUAAGCUGUAGCCGGGCCGCCAUGACAGGCCCCACCGUGCCGGGAGGCCAGGGGCCAGGGGCUAGGUUUGCCCCAGUCCUUCCCCCCACGUGCCUCUUCUUCCUUCCACUCCUGCAGCCUUAGACGGGGCGCGGGGAAAGGGGUGGAUGAGGGAGCAGGGAGUACAAUCCAAGCAGUAUAGGAAACUACUGAGAUGUUUCAGAAUUCUUAGCAAGGCGUGAAUAAUCCUGAAGGUGUCGUGGGAAUUAGGAAAAAAUAUUAAUUUUCUUUAAAUAAGAGCAGCCCUCAUGUAGUGAAUCCCCACUCUGCCUUGUCCUAUUCCACCCUCGCAACAGCCUCACAAAUUAGAUGUUUACCCCAUUUAACAGAUAAGGAAAAUGGGACUCAAUAGCUUGUCCAACACAGCCUUCCCAAUCAGUGCAGUUGAGGUUCCAAUUCGGAAGAUCCCAUCUUAAAAACCCAGACUCUUUGAAAUAGUACAGUAGUGCCCCCUUCUGUGAUUUCGCUUUCCUCCAUUUCAGUUACCUGUGGUCAACCUCCCUCUGGAAUAGAUGACCUUCCUUUUGAGAUAUAGUCAGAAAGUAGGUUCCUCUCAACGCACACCUCAUUCACCUCACUUCAUCUCAUCAGGCUACUGAGAAGUAACCACUCAAUUGACGUCUCUCAUGGUGGCAUCACUCGUAUCACACAGGAUUUCUUUUGAACUUCUUGGUAUCAUAACCUUUAAGUAUUUUAUAAUGAGGAAGACAACAACCAUGAUCAUUUUGUCAUGCAAAGAAGUUCACUGGUUAUCUUGUUGAGGUACUUGAAACGGUUGUUGAAUUAAAAGUGUUUUGCCAGGACCUCUCAUUGCCUGAACCCGGGGAGAAGCCAGAAUGCAGGAGGACCCACUGAUGAAGUCUACAAAGACCCCAGUAAUAAAUCCACUAACUGUUGCCACAGAAGCCUGGACUCAAAGUCAACUGAUUUGGUUCCAGCCUAUGAUACAAGCAAAGCCUUGCAUUUCUCAUUUGAGAAUCCAGAAUGGAGUACUGUGUUGACACUACCCACCUGAAAUUAAAACAACAACAACAACAACAACAAAACACGAAAAGUUGCCACCAGGGGAAAG